rnacentral:tRNA from 1 species
CCCCCCAUAGCCCAAUUGGCAGAGGCACCCGACUUAAAAUCGGUUCAGUCUGGGUUCGAGUCCCAGUGGGGGAC